AAAACAUGUCCUUUAGAAUUUAAUUUAAGGUCUAACCUGCCCACUGAUUUAAAUGGCCGCAGUAUUUUAACUGUGCAAAGGUAGCAUAAUCAUUAGUCUUUUAAUUGAAGGCUUGUAUGAAUGGUUGAACGAAAUAUUAACUGUUUCAUAAGAAUUUUUAGAAUUUUAUUUUUUAGUUAAAAAGCUAAAAUUUUUUUAAAAGACGAGAAGACCCUAUAGAUCUUUAUAUUUUAUUAAUUAUAGUUAUAUAGAUUAUUUAAAUUAUAAUAUUAUAAGUUAUUUUGUUGGGGUGACAUUAAAAUUUAAUAAACUUUUAAUAAAUUUUUACAUUUAUUUAUGAUUAAUUGAUCCACUAUUAGUGAUUAGAAAAUUAAGUUACCCUAGGGAUAACAGCGUAAUUUUUUUGAAGAGUUCAUAUCGAUAAAAAAGAUUGCGACCUCGAUGUUGGAUUAAGAUAUAAUUUUGGGUGCAACAAUUCAAAUAUUAAGUC
rnacentral:rRNA from 1 species